AUGAUGCCCUUUUUCAACUCUACC
rnacentral:siRNA from 1 species